GGAUUGGUGGUCUAAUGGCUACCGCUUCUGCUUCAUAAGCAGAAGGAAUGGGUUCAAUCCCAAGCCCGUCCA
rnacentral:tRNA from 1 species